rnacentral:rRNA from 1 species
CACACCGCCCGUCACAUCACGAGAGUCGGUUGCACUAGAAGUCGGUGGGCUAACCCGCAAGGGAGGCAGCCGCCUAAAGUGUGAUCGGUAAUUGGGGUG